UUAACACAUGCAAGUCGAACGAUGAACCUCGCUUGCGGGGGGAUUAGUGGCGAACGGGUGAGUAACACGUGAGUAACCUGCCCUUAACUCUGGGAUAAGCCUGGGAAACUGGGUCUAAUACUGGAUAUUGACUUUUCACCGCAUGGUGGGGGGUUGAAAGCUUUUGUGGUUUUGGAUGGACUCGCGGCCUAUCAGCUUGUUGGUGAGGUAAUGGCUCACCAAGGCGACGACGGGUAGCCGGCCUGAGAGGGUGACCGGCCACACUGGGACUGAGACACGGCCCAGACUCCUACGGGAGGCAGCAGUGGGGAAUAUUGCACAAUGGGCGAAAGCCUGAUGCAGCGACGCCGCGUGAGGGAUGACGGCCUUCGGGUUGUAAACCUCUUUCAGUAGGGAACAAGGCUACACGUUGUGUGGUUGAGGGUACCUGCAGAAGAAGCGCCGGCUAACUACGUGCCAGCAGCCGCGGUAAUACGUAGGGCGCAAGCGUUAUCCGGAAUUAUUGGGCGUAAAGAGCUCGUAGGCGGUUUGUCGCGUCUGCCGUGAAAGUCCGGGGCUCAACUCCGGAUCUGCGGUGGGUACGGGCAGACUAGAGUGAUGUAGGGGAGACUGGAAUUCCUGGUGUAGCGGUGAAAUGCGCAGAUAUCAGGAGGAACACCGAUGGCGAAGGCAGGUCUCUGGGCAUUAACUGACGCUGAGGAGCGAAAGCAUGGGGAGCGAACAGGAUUAGAUACCCUGGUAGUCCAUGCCGUAAACGUUGGGC
rnacentral:rRNA from 1 species